UUAGCCCUGAAAAUGGAUGGCGCUCAAGCGGGCUGCCGAUGUCGUGCCAUUCGGGGCAAAAUAAACAUUUUUGUAAAUAAAACUGGCUUUAAAAUGAUUACAAAUUAAACAAAAAAAAUUGAAAUGUUUUAGUUAUCCUUGAAUGAGUAGGAGGGUGUGGAGGUUGCGUCGAAGCGUGCGGGGCAACCUGGCGUGGAGCGGCCUCUAGUACAGAUCUUGGUGAUAGUAGCAAAUAUUCAGGUGAGACCCCUGAAGGUCGAAGCGGGGAAGGGUUCCACGCGAACAUUGAUUGAACGUGGGUGAGCCGUACCUAAGCCAAGUGGCCAUGGCUGCGAUAGGCGAAAGGGUGGCAGGUUGAUAUUCCUGCGCUUGGAUGUAGUUGAUUGCGGUGACGCAUCUCUUUCCGGGGUGGUGACAUCGGUGGACUCGCUGGGCAGAGUUUUCUUCUCUGUUUGACGCGUACCGCGCUGUGUGGAGGCCGAUUAUCGGGAGAAGCACGCGUGAUGAGGCAGAGCGCCGCGAGGUAUUUGCGGCGUCCGGCUUGAGUUAAUCGGUCCUUGAAAAACCACUUGCUGGGUCGAUGGGGGGUCAGGGAUGAGACUUUGUUUCCUCUACCUCUUGUCGAUGAUAAAGAAACGACUACGCCGAGACGUACCCAGAACCGCAUCAGGU
rnacentral:rRNA from 1 species